UGCUGGGGGUCUAUCGAAAACAGCCUCUCUACUUCACAUGAGGUAGUGGUAUGGACUGCGUACACUCUACCCUCCCCAGACCCCACUAGGUGGGAAUACAUCGGGUAUGUUAUUGUUGUUGUUGCUAGUAGUCGUAGUAUUGCCGGGGGUCUUAUCGGAAACAGACUCUCUACUUCACCUGAGGUAGUGGUAUGGACUGCGUACACUCUACCCUCCACAGACCCCACUAGGUGGGAAUACAUUGGGUAUGUUGUUGUUGUUGUUGCUAGUAGUCGUAGUAUUACUCUUUUCGAUUUCUGUUAUUGUUUCGUGUAGGUUGAUUAUAGUAUUAUUUUGGUGUAGUGUGGUUCCGCUACUAUCUGUUGUUUUACUACUGCCUGUUUUUACUUUUUCUUUCUGGUACUUCCUUUUCUAGACUGCUUUUAUCUUGAGCCUUCUCCGGAAACAGUUGCUGUACCUUCUCCGGACCCUACUUUGUGAGACUACGCUACCUGUCAAACAUACAGUAUCAUACUGUAUGUUGAUGACAAUAUUGUUAGCGCGAUAAAAGAUUCUGAUACGGUUAUCAUCUGUUGUAACGUAUCAAUGAAAAGUAAGGAGAAAAGGGAAAUAGUUCAAUCGUUCGAGUAAAAAGAAAGAGUAUACUUAGGUUAAACUAAUGUCAAAAUCUGUUGAGUUACUUUAAAAAACUGAUUUGAUUGCCCGAAUUUCAUCUGUCUUCUCUUAACACUCCCUUUUUCGUGUUAACAACAGUUCUAAAAACAGACUUUAAAUAUCUGUCUUUUACCUCAGUUUCGUCUUGAAAAACAAAGAGUAGUUCACUGAGAGAUGAAGAGCUAUGCGGAAUGGUAUCCUAUCGUUGUUAUGUUGGUGAUUGAUUUUGCUUUCGCGAUUGGUAAUAUACUUCUCAAGAAGAUUAUCAUGGAUGGUAUGAACCAUUUCGUGUUCAUCACUUAUCGACAGUCCAUUUCAAGCUUGUUUUUAGCCCCAAUCGCCUUCUUUCUUGAAAGGAAUACGAGGCCUAAACUCACACCGCAAAUCUUGUGCUAUCUUUUCUUGAGUGCAAUCGUUGGGGCAUCUCUUACGCAGUACUUAUUCCUUCUUGGCAUACAAUACACUUCUGCAACAUUUGCAUGUGCAUUUCUCAACAUGGUUCCAGUGAUAACAUUCCUUAUGGCAUUGCUUUUCGGGUUAGAGGCAUUUAACAUAAAGGACAGAAGCGGCCGAGCCAAAGUUAUCGGUACAUUAAUAUGCCUCGGAGGUGCCUUCUUACUGACUUUUUACAAAGGCAUACCUUUAAUCCAUUUUUCACACGUACAAGAUUUAUCGCGAACUGUGGAAGAACCUAUCAGUUCCUCUAAAAGAAACGAACAAUGGAUGUUUGGCUCAAUGAUCUUAUUCGCUGGAACGCUUUUGUGGUCCUCGUGGUUCCUUCUGCAAUCGAAAAUUGCUAAGAAAUAUCCAUGUCAGUACUCGAGUACGGUUAUUAUGACCUUCUUCAGUGCCAUACAAUCAGCUAUCUUAACUUUGUCCACUGAUAGAAGACUUUCCAUUUGGAUUCCAAACGAAAAGACCAUCGACAUGUUAAGUGUCGUUUAUACUCAACUACAACUACUACUACGCUGCAGUCUCAAACAAGUUGGAGUCAGCAACUUUUUGUUGUUCAUUGGACAUGCUAAAAUGUGUCCUAGUUAUCAAUCAGUGUCCAUCGAUAUCAUAACAUAUGUCAGAAUCCUUAGGAUGAAGCUUUGCCCAAGUCGAAAAAUUUAGUCCUUUUUCUGAAGCGAAACUACAGGAUGAAUAACAAGUCACUUCAAAGUUACUAUACGAUGAAUGGGCUUAGUUGGUUCAGGGUUGUGCUUCGUUGGAAUGUCGUGGUGUGUUAAGAAGAGGGGACCGGUCUUUACUGCAGCAUUCAGUCCUCUUAUACAAGUUAUGGCAGCCAUGUUAGACGUUCCACUUCUACACGAGCAACUCA